rnacentral:rRNA from 1 species
UACGAAGGGGGCUAGCGUUGCUCGGAAUUACUGGGCGUAAAGCGCACGUAGGCGGCUUUCUAAGUCGGGGGUGAAAUCCUGGAGCUCAACUCCAGAACUGCCUUCGAUACUGGAAGCUCGAGUCCGGGAGAGGUGAGUGGAACUGCGAGUGUAGAGGUGAAAUUCGUAGAUAGUUGCAAGAACACCAGUGGCGAAGGCGGCUCACUG